rnacentral:rRNA from 1 species
UACGAGGGGUGCAAGCGUUAUUCGGAAUAAUUGGGCGUAAAGGGUGCGUAGACGGUUUUUUAAGUCUGUUGUUAAAUUCCCCGGCUUAACUGGGGGCCUGCAAUGGAAACUGAUAGACUAGAGGGUGAGAGAGAGAAGUGGAAUUCCAGGAGUAGCGGUAAAAUGCGUAGAUAUCGGGAGGAACAUCUGUGGCGAAGGCGACACCCUGGACCAGCACUGACACUGAGGCACGAAAGCGUGGGGAGCAAACAGG